CCUACGGGAGGCUGCAGUAGGGAAUAUUGCUCAAUGGGGGAAACCCUGAAGCAGCAACGCCGCGUGGAGGAUGAAGGUUUUCGGAUUUUCAACUCCUUUUGUUAGAGAAGAUAAUGACGGUAUGUAACGAAUAAGCACCGGCUAACUCCGUUCCAGCAGCAGCGGUAAUACGGAGGGUGCCAGCGUUACUCGGAAUCACUGGGCGUAAAGAGCGCGUAGGCGGGAUAGCAAGUCAGAUGUGAAAUCCUAUGGCUCAACCAUAGAACUGCAUUUGACACUGUUAUUCUAGAGUAUGGGAGAGGUAGGUGGAAUUCGUGGUGUAGGGGUAAAAUCCGUAGAGAUCAAGAGGAACACUCAUUGCGAAGGCGACCUGCUAGAACAUAACUGACGCUGAUGCGCGAAAGCGUGGGUAGCAAACAGGAUUAGAUACCCCGGUAGUC
rnacentral:rRNA from 1 species